CCAAUGGCAUUGCCCGGUAGCUAAAUGCGGAAGAGAUAAGUGCUGAAAGCAUCUAAGCACGAAACUUGCCCCGAGAUGAGUUCUCCCUGACUCCUUGAGAGUCCUGAAGGAACGUUGAAGACGACGACGUUGAUAGGCCGGGUGUGUAAGCGCAGCGAUGCGUUGAGCUAACCGGUACUAAUGAACCGUGAGGCUUAACCUU
rnacentral:rRNA from 1 species